rnacentral:rRNA from 1 species
AACGAACGCUGGCGGCGGGCCUAACACAUGCAAGUCGAGCGAAGCCUUCGGGCUUAGCGGCGGACGGGUGAGUAACGCGUGGGAACGUGCCCUUUGGUACGGAAUAGCCCCGGGAAACUGGGAGUAAUACCGUAUGUGGUCGAGAGACGAAAGAUUUAUCGCCAAAGGAACGGCCCGCGGUGGAUUAGGUAGUUGGUGGGGUAAUGUCCUACCAAGCCGACGCUCCAUAGCUGGUUUGAGAGGAUGAUCAGACACACUGGGACUGAGAAACGGCCCAGACUCCUACAGUAGGCAGCAGUGGGUAAUCUUAGACAAUGGGGGAAACCCUGAUCUAGCCAUGCACCGUGAUCGAUGAAGGCCUUAUGGUUGAAAAGAUCUUUCAGUGGGGAAGAUAAUGACUGUACCCACAGAAGAAGCCCCGGCUAACUCCGUGCCAGCAGCCGCCGUAAAAC